UUGUGUCUUCGAGUCGUUGAUUUCACACUGCCGAGAAAAGCCUCUAGAUAGAAAAUAGGUGCCCGUACCGCAAACCGACACAGGUAGUCAAGAUGAGAAUUCUAAGGUGAGCGAGCGAACUCUCGUUAAGGAACUCGGCAAAAUGACCCCGUAACUUCGGGAGAAGGGGUGCUCUUUAGGGUUAACGCCCAGAAGAGCCGCAGUGAAUAGGCCCAAGCGACUGUUUAUCAAAAACACAGGUCUCUGCUAAACCGUAAGGUGAUGUAUAGGGGCUGACGCCUGCCCGGUGCUGGAAGGUUAAGAGGAGUGGUUAGCUUCUGCGAAGCUACGAAUCGAAGCCCCAGUAAACGGCGGCCGUAACUAUAACGGUCCUAAGGUAGCGAAAUUCCUUGUCGGGUAAGUUCCGACCCGCACGAAAGGCGUAACGAUUUGGGCACUGUCUCAACGAGAGACUCGGUGAAAUCAUAGUACCUGUGAAGAUGCAGGUUACCCGCGACAGGACGGAAAGACCCCGUGGAGCUUUACUGUAGCCUGAUAUUGAAAUUCGGCACAGCUUGUACAGGAUAGGUAGGAGCCUUUGAAACGUGAGCGCUAGCUUACGUGGAGGCGCUGGUGGGAUACUACCCUAGCUGUGUUGGCUUUCUAACCCGCACCACUUAUCGUGGUGGGAGACAGUGUCAGGCGGGCAGUUUGACUGGGGCGGUCGCCUCCUAAAAGGUAACGGAGGCGCUCAAAGGUUCCCUCAGAAUGGUUGGAAAUCAUUCAUAGAGUGUAAAGGCAUAAGGGAGCUUGACUGCGAGACCUACAAGUCGAGCAGGGUCGAAAGACGGACUUAGUGAUCCGGUGGUU
rnacentral:rRNA from 1 species